GUUUUCUUUGUUUUAGUGUUGGUCAGGACGUGAGCUGAGUGGGCAUUCUUUGUUGUAUGUCUAGUUUGUCUAUUUCUAUGUUUGGCCUGAUAUGGUUCUCAAUCAGAGGCAGGUGUUAGUCAUUGUCUCGGAUUGGGAACCAUAUUUAGGUAGCCUGUUUUAUGUUGGGUUUUGUGGGUGGUUGUCUUCUGUCUUUGUGUCAUUGCACCAGACAGGACUGUUUCGGUUUUCACAUUUGUUGUUUUGUAUUGUGUAGUGUUCUCGUGUAUGGUCUUUAUUAAACAUGUUGAACUCUAACCACGCUGCAUUUUGGUCCUCCUCUCCUUCAAUGGAAGAAAACCGUUACAG
ensembl:lncRNA